GCCGGGCAUGGUGGUGCAUGCCUGUAAUCCCAGCUACUCAGGAGGCUGAGGCAGGAGAAUCGCUUGAACCCAGGAGGUGGAGGCUGCUUGAACCCAGGAGGCAGAGGCUGCAGUGAGCCGAGAUUGUGCCACUGUACUCCAGCCUGGGUGACAGAGCCAGAUUCUGUCUCAA
ensembl:misc_RNA Metazoa_SRP Metazoan signal recognition particle RNA